ensembl:lncRNA
UGGCAAGAGAAAAACAGACACACACACACACACACGCACACAAAUGAGAGCUGCAGCAGUCUGUGCAUAAACACACUCCUGCACCAGAACCAUGGCGAUGGAACUCACGGCGAUGCCUCUGGAGGCACGACACACUCGCUCACACUCUCAUCUCGCUCCAGACUGGGACAAAGGGAAGAGCACGCACAUGGUUGAUCUCUCCUUCGCCUCCCACUGCUCUUAACAGUUCCCUUCUUAGCAUUUAGCAGCAAGAGAGAAGAGGCCAGAAAACCCCCUAGGAUACCUACAGUCCCUCGCAGAGAAAGAGAGGAGAGCAAAGAGUGCAGAAGAAACCUGGAGCAAAGAAAAUGUUCUGGCGCUUAGAGAACGGCCAUUGACAGACGAGUACCUCAUGUUAUUGAAAACACAAAAGUUGUCACUCACAGGCAGAUGCUGCUCCCCGCUGGGUCAGAUGACUUCGCUGUUGACUGGCACGGCUCCGGGAGCAGUGGUACACUUUGGGCAGGUGCGAUCUGAGAGCUUCACCAACAGUUUCCCAGAAGCCGGCUGUCACCUAAGCACUUGUUUAGUGGAUGCUGUCUCUUCUAAUGCUGCAUGAUUGUGAGGGGAUUGUGGAAUGGGAUUUUGUUUGCUCUGCAUUUGAAUCAGCAGAAAGAAGCUGAUCCAACAGCCCUUCCUGUCUUUGUAGUACUCUGACAAUUUAAUCCGCCGCUCGCCCUCUUAUGUAAGGGAGUAGCUCACAUAUUGAUAAUCCCAGGUCAUAGUUGGCUGCCACCGCUCUCAAAGUACCAGUCUCGCAGACCUCUGGCACUGCGCAGCAGGACAAUGCUGACACGCAGUCCAUGAACACAGCUAGGUACACUGCAUGGCGCCAUGGAGGUUUGUGUCUAAAGAGCUCUAAAAGGUGGGUGGAAGUGAAGGACUAUGGCUAAAUGGUAGGGUUUUUGCUGAACUGUUUUAAAAACUGUUUUUGUUAUUGUUGUUUGUUUGUUUGUGUGUGUGUGUUUUUAAAGAUUGUGAUGAAGGGCCGGGGUCAGAGAUCCGUUGAUGUAGAGGAGCUGCUUCGGCAGUCUCAGGGGGAGUUGCUGUGGAUACAGAGACAGCUGUCAAUCAUCUCAGCGAGAAAUGCUCGGCACACACGGGCUAAAGACAGGGUGAGUCUUUGAAAAGCAUUUAUCUUGUUUCAAUAUGAGGAGAUUGUUUCAAUAUUUAUCAGAAAAAUGGUCAUGGUAAUACAGCAUGGCAAUAAAACGUAUGAUUUUGAGCAACACCAUGCAACAAUUUGCCACUUUUUGAAGUACAUUUUAUAGGCAACUAGUUUUGGUAUGAUCUUCAAAUGAAUUUUGACUAUAUAUGGUGAUGUAAAGGACAGAUAAACACACGUGCCAUUUCCCCA